rnacentral:ncRNA from 1 species
AUUCUGGUUGAUCCUGCCAGUAGUUAUAUGCUUGUCUCAAAGAUUAAGCCAUGCAUGUCUAAGUACACACGAAUUAAAAGUGAAACCGCAAAAGGCUCAUUAUAUCAGUUAUGGUUCCUUAGAUCGUUAACAGUUACUUGGAUAACUGUGGUAAUUCUAGAGCUAAUACAUGCAAUUAAAACAUGAACCUUAUGGGACAUGUGCUUUUAUUAGGCUAAAACCAAGCGAUCGCAAGAUCGUUAUAUUGGUUGAACUCUAGAUAACAUGCAGAUCGUAUGGUCUUGUACCGACGACAGAUCUUUCAAAUGUCUGCCCUAUCAACUUUUGAUGGUAGUAUCUAGGACUACCAUGGUUGCAACGGGUAACGGGGAAUCAGGGUUCGAUUCCGGAGAGGGAGCCUGAGAAACGGCUACCACAUCUAAGGAAGGCAGCAGGCGCGUAAAUUACCCACUCCCAGCUCGGGGAGGUAGUGACGAAAAAUAACAAUACAGGACUCAUAUCCGAGGCCCUGUAAUUGGAAUGAGUACACUUUAAAUCCUUUAACAAGGACCAAUUGGAGGGCAAGUCUGGUGCCAGCAGCCGCGGUAAUUCCAGCUCCAAUAGCGUAUAUUAAAGUUGUUGCGGUUAAAACGUUCGUAGUUGAACUUGUGCUUCAUACGGGUAGUACAACUUACAAUUGUGGUUAGUACUAUACCUUUAUGUAUGUAAGCGUAUUACCGGUGGAGUUCUUAUAUGUGAUUAAAUACUUGUAUUUUUCAUAUGUUCCUCCUAUUUAAAACCUGCACUAGUGCUCUUAAACGAGUGUUAUUGUGGGCCGGUAUAUUACUUUGAACAAUUAAAGUGCUUAAAGCAGGCUCCAAUGCCUGAAUAUUUGUGCCUGGAUAU